GGGGCCGUAGCGCAGAGGUCGUCGCGUUCGGCUGCACACCGAAAGGACGCCGGUUCGAAUCCGGCCGGCCCCG
rnacentral:tRNA from 3 species